UUGUGAGAUUUUGGGGUUUUGGGGGUUUCAACCUCCAUGGAAGCUUGAGGAACACUCAUUCCUCUAUUGUGUGAUCAUUGGUGGAUUGAGGCAAGAGGACCAAGUGGAGUGACCAACCCUUGGGGUUGUGUGCAAUUGAGGAAAGCUCAAAGAGCAAGGUACUGAUAGAGGUGAGGUUGAUCGAGGCAAGAAGCGUGAGUAGACUGUACCUGAUAGCUGGACAUGUUGAGUUGCAUGCCAUUUAGCAUUGCUAUAUGUAUAUUUUGAUGCCACAUGAUGUAUUUUGGAGGACUUAGUGCAUGAUCAUUGUAGUAGUAAUGGGUAUCUGAUACAGGGUUACUUGCUUUGAUCAUGUUCAUUUUGUAGCUAAGUCCUUUGGCAUGUAUAUGAGAUUUGUAAUUAAGACAUGAUGUAAUAUUGUAAGU